AACGAACGCUGGCGGCAUGCCUAACACAUGCAAGUCGAACGAGACCUUCGGGUCUAGUGGCGCACGGGUGCGUAACGCGUGGGAACCUGCCCUUAGGUUCGGAAUAACUCCCCGAAAGGGGUGCUAAUACCGGAUAAUGUCUUCGGACCAAAGAUUUAUCGCAUUUGGAUGGGCCCGCGUUGGAUUAGCUAGUUGGUAGGGUAAAAGCCUACCAAGGCGACGAUUCAUAACUGGUCUGAGAGGAUGAUCAGCCACACUGGGACUGAGACACGGCCGAGACUCCUACGGGAGGCAGCAGUGGGGAAUAUUGGACAAUGGGCGAAAGCCUGAUCCAGCAAUGCCGCGUGAGUGAUGAAGGCCUUAGGGUUGUAAAGCUCUUUUACCCGGGAUGAUAAUGACGGUACCGGGAGAAUAAGCUCCGGCUAACUCCGUG
rnacentral:rRNA from 1 species